rnacentral:rRNA from 1 species
AUGCUUAAUUUAUUCAGGGAUAGAGAGGACUCCCUCCUAUUCAUAAUAAUUGUCGCCGAUUUAGUACAAAGUUGUACUAAAUCAACGAAACUUAAUAUGGAUUGGGGGAAUAGCAAAAUUCAUGUUUUGAUGAGAAGAAAAGUGAACCUAAAGGCUCUAAGUACUAUUAGUAGGACACCAGGUUGCUUCAAGCCCUUGGAUAAGAAUGUUUCAGUCGCUGGAGAGAAUGUUGAACAGAUGACAUGGAUGGAAGAUCUCUGGCCACCUGCAAAUAGCUAUUUGAAGAUCAAGAUCGGGAGUAUUGAGUUUUGUAAUAGUGAUUCCUGA